GGUUUAUCCUGCCAGUAGUCAUAUGCUUGUCUCAAAGAUUAAGCCAUGCAUGUCUAAGUAUAACCCAAUUUAUUCAGGCGAAACUGCGAAUAGCUCAUUAGAUCAGUUAUAGUUUAUUUGAUAGUCCAAUUACAACUUGGAUAACCAUGGUAAUUCUAGAGCUAAUACAUGAAGAGAUGUAUUUAUUAGAUAAAAAGCCAAUAGCCCGCAAGGGUUUUUUCUUGGUGAAUCAUGAUAACUUUUCGAAUCACAUAGUCUUGAACCGGUGAUGAAUCAUUCAAAUUUCUGCCCUAUCAACUUUAGAUGGUAGGAUAGAGGUCUACUAUGGUUUUAGCGGGUAACGGAAAAUUAGGGUUCGAUUCCGGAAAGGGAACCUGAGAAAUGGCAGCUACAUCCAAAGAAGGCGGCAGGCGCGCAAAUUAUCCAAUCCCGACACAGGGAGAUAGUGACAAUAAAUAACAAUACGGGCUCAUUUGGGUCUUGUAAUUGAAAUAAGUACAAUUUAAUCUCUUAAUGAGAAACAAUUGAAGGGCAAGUCUGGUGCUAACAGCUGCGAUAAUUCCAGCUCCAAUAGCGUAUAUUAAAGUUGUUGCAGUUAAAAAGCUCGUAGUUGAACUUCGGGGUUUAUUCAUAAUUGUCUGUACUGAUGAGAUGAAUCUCUACCUUCUGAGAAACUUUUAUGACAUUUAUUUGGUGUGAUUAGAAAUCAGGACUGCUACUUUGAAAAAAUUAGAGUGUUUAAAGCAGGCUAACAUCUGAAUACAUUAGCAUAUUGAUUCUAUUUUAUUAGUUUCUAGGGUUACUGUAAUGAUUAAUAGGGAUAGUUGGUGGCAUUAGUAUUCAAUUGUAAGAGGUGAAAUUCUUGGAUUUAUUGAAGAUUAACUACUGCAAAAACAUUUUCCAAGGAUGUUUUCAUUAAUCGAGAACGAAAGUUAGGGGAUCGAAGAUAAUCAGAUACCGUUAUAGUCUUAACCAUAAACUAUACUAACUAGGGAUCAGACGCAAUUAAUUUUAUAAUGAUAUGGUUGGCACCUUACAGAAACCAAAGUGUUUGAGUUCUGGAAGAGUAUAGUUGCAAGGCUGGAAUUUAAAAAAAUUGACAGAAGGGUAUUACUAGGGGUGGAGCUUGCAGCUUAAUUUGACUUAACACGGGAAAACUCACCAGGUCCAGACAAAGUAAGGAUUAACAGAUUGAGAGCUCUUUUUUGAUUCCAUGGGUGGUACAUGGCUGUUCUUAGUCGAUGGAGUGAUUUGUCUGGUUAAUUCUGAUAACGAACGAAACCUUAACCUGCUAAAUAGUUAGGCACUCCUUUGAAAGUUGACAACUUCUUAGAGGCAAUAACAGGUCUAUAAUACCUUAGAUGUUCUGGGCUACACACACGCUACACUAAUGAAGUCAUCGAGUUCUUUUUUCUCACCGGAAGAUGUAGGUAAUCUUUUGAAACUUAUCAUGAUGGAGAUAGAGCAUUGCAAUUAUUGCUCUUCAAUGCGGAAUUUCUAGUAAGUAUGAGUUAUUAACUCAUAUUGAUUACGUCCCCGCCCUUUGUACACACUAUCUGCCACUACUACUGAUUGAAUGGUUUAGUAAGACCUUUGGAUUGGGUUUAAGAAAUUGGUAACAAUUCUUAUUUUUCAAGAAUUCGGUCAAACUUGAUUAUUUAAAGGAAGUAAAAGUCAUAAUAAGGUUUCUGUAAAUGAACCUGUGAAA
rnacentral:rRNA from 1 species